rnacentral:snoRNA from 1 species
UUGCUGUGAAAAAAACCGUGUCUAGAGAUGAAUUUUAAUUUCAGCGCUGACGGUAAACACAUCCCUCUAAGAAGUUCUGAGCUU